UGAGGAAUAUUGGUCAAUGGACGCAAGUCUGAACCAGCCAUGCCGCGUGCAGGAUGACGGCCCUACGGGUUGUAAACUGCUUUUGUAAAGGAAUAAAUACGAGUACGUGUGCUUGUUUGAAGGUACUUUACGAAUAAGCACCGGCUAACUCCGUGCCAGCAGCCGCGGUAAUACGGAGGGUGCAAGUGUUAUCCGGAUUCAUUGGGUUUAAAGGGUGCGUAGGCGGAUUUUUAAGUCAGUGGUGAAAUACUGCAGCUCAACUGUAGAACUGCCAUUGAUACUGGAAAUCUUGAGUAUGAUUGAUGUGGGCGGAAUACGUCAUGUAGCGGUGAAAUGCAUAGAUAUGACGUAGAACACCGAUGGCGAAGGCAGCUCACAAAGCCAUAACUGACGCUGAGGCACGAAAGCGUAGGUAGCAAACAGGAUUAGAUACCCUGGUAGUCCACGCUGUAAACGAUGAUCACUCGUUGUUGGUUAUGUAAUAAUCAGCGAUCAAGCGAAAGCGAUAAGUGAUCCACCUGGGGAGUACGUCGGCAACGAUG
rnacentral:rRNA from 1 species